CAGCCGCCACGGUAAUACGAAGGGGGCUAGCGUUGUUCGGAUUAACUGGGCGUAAAGGGCGCGUAGGCGGGUUUUUAAGUCAGAGGUGAAAUCCCAAGGCUCAACCUUGGAACUGCCUUUGAUACUGGAAGUCUUGAGUCCGGGAGAGGUGAGUGGAACUGCGAGUGUAGAGGUGAAAUUCGUAGAUAUUCGCAAGAACACCGAUGGCGAAGGCAGCCUCCUGGGCCAAUACUGACGCUCAUGCACGAAAGCGUGGGGAGCAAACAGGAUUAGAUACCCCAGUAGUCCCUGUCUCUUAUAC
rnacentral:rRNA from 1 species